GACGAACGCUGGCGGCGUGCCUAAUACAUGCAAGUCGAACGCUUCUUUCCUCCCGAUUGCUUGCACUCAAUUGGAAAGAGGAGUGGCGGACGGGUGAGUAACACGUGGGUAACCUACCCAUCAGAUGGGGAUAACACUUGGAAACAGGUGCUAAUACCGCAUAACAGUUUAUGCCGCAUGGCAUAAGAGUGAAAGGCGCUUUCGGGUGUCGCUGAUGGAUGGACCCGCGGUGCAUUAGCUAGUUGGUGAGGUAACGGCUCACCAAGGCAACGAUGCAUAGCCGACCUGAGAGGGUGAUCGGCCACACUGGGACUGAGACACGGCCCAGACUCCUACGGGAGGCAGCAGUAGGGAAUCUUCGGCAAUGGACGAAAGUCUGACCGAGCAACGCCGCGUGAGUGAAGAAGGUUUUCGGAUCGUAAAACUCUGUUGUUAGAGAAGAACAAGGACGUUAGUAACUGAACGUCCCCUGACGGUAUCUAACCAGAAAGCCACGGCUAACUACGUG
rnacentral:rRNA from 1 species